rnacentral:lncRNA from 1 species
UAGACCACAAUACCUGGAUAUUUGAUCAAACCUUAUUCUAAAUGUUCCUGUAAAAGUAUUUUUUAGAUGAGGGUAACAUUUAAUCAGCAGAUUUUGAGUAAAGCAGGUUACCCCCUAUAAUGUGGGUGAUUUUCUUUCAAUUAGUUGAAGGCCUUAAGAGAAAAGAAAAACUGAGGUCUCCUGAAGAAGAGUGAAUUUUGCCAGCAAAUGGCAUUUACACUUGAACUGGAACAUCAAAACUUCCUUGACUCUCUCACCUGCUGGCCCAUCUUGUAGAUCUUUGACUUGCCAGCCUCCACAAUCAUAAAAUCCAAGCUCCUCCAUGACUACUCAACAGCAAGAAGUACAAGAACCUCAGAAGUGUGGCCUCUUCUUCCCUUCCUCUUCAAUAUGUCCUGAACCUCCAGCAAAAUAAUGAGUAUCUUGACUCUUAUUGCACAUACAAUCUUUCCAGGGCUCUAUUCUGAAGCACUACAAGAGGAAACAGACUGGAACGACAAAGCUGAAUAGAGAGACCUAUGGAAGACAGAGAACUACAGAAAUCUAUUCUUUAUAUAUAAGUUAAGGCAAAACAAAUAUAUCAAUUUUACUAAAGCUUUUCAAUACUUAGACCCUGACAUGUGUAAAUGUGAAUAAACAUAUAUAUACAUACAAAUAUGCACCUUUAAAAUAAAAUAAGAGUGUAACUUGGUGAUGAGAAAAAAGAGAAGCAGUAAUAGCCAAAGUGUGGACUCGGAAGGGAAGAAGAAUGAGGUGGAGGCUUUCUUUCUUUUUCUGGCCUCAAGUUUCCAUAUGGAGAGACUUCAUACUGUAGAAAUAUCUAUCUACUACCAAUUUGAGAUCCUCCCCCAAAUCCUUACUCACUCCUUCCUAGGGGAAGAAUCAUGGUUUAUCUGAUUCAUCAUCACACUUUAGAGUUAUUGAACUUUACCACUGAUUAACAAAUUAAUCUGGUGAGCAAAUAAUCAGAGUAAAAUGAUACAACAUUUAAUUAGAUGUAAACUACAAGGCAUCUGGUGUCACCUAGGAAAGAAACAGGUGUCAGUGGUGACAUAUUUCAACCCUAUUGCACAAAUUCAGCAAGAGAACACCCACAAUCCACAUGUUACUGUGUUUGCCACACCUACGUUAUUAUGGGAAUCAGGAAAUCUGGAGUGACUGGCACUAAGAUAUUAAAUAGAAAUCUGGAAGUUACUAUCAUUUAUAUUGUCUUCCUAUGGAAUUCUCAUAUGUGCAGGUAAGUGUCCCAAAGGGAAGAAAAUUGUGCUUGGUUUGAUGGCUAUAAUUGACAUUGCAUAGGGUGAUCUACUCAAAAGACAAUGCAAAUUCAAUACCAAUAAGUUGAGUAAUAGGGUAAAAGGACAAACCAAAAGCUUGUACAUUUUUAUUGUUCUUACUGGAUGUAUGUACUUAUGUACAUGUAUGAAUAUGAAAAUAUUAUAAGUAGAGAUACUUUAAAAUGUGUAUCAAUGUGUGCACAUUCAUAUUUAUAAGAUCUAUAAUAUACAAGUAUAUAUUAUAUAUACUAUAUAUAAGUAUAUAUUUAUAUAUUAUGUAAGUAUAUAUUAUAUAUUAUAAGUAUAUAUAAUAUAUAGCUAUACAUAAUAUAUACUUAUUAUAUUAUAUAUUUUAUAUAUUUAUAUAAUAUCUUUGCCAUAAAAAAUACAUUAUGGAAAAUUUGAAACACAUACAAAAGUAGAGACAAUGGUAUAAUGAAUACCCCAUGUACCGAUAACCCAGGUCAACAAUUAUCUUCUCAUUGCUAAUUUAUUUCUUUUGUACCCCUACCCAUUUUCCCCUUUCCCCUUCCUGAUUAUUUCAAAACAAAUCCCAGACAUGAUAUUAUAUCAUCUGUAAGUAUUCUAGUGUUUGUUUCUAAAAGGCAAGAACCCCACUUUUAAAUAUAACCACAACACCAUCAUUACAUUUCACCCCCUACCUUUCAUUAUGUGAAGUCAACAAUAAUUCCUCAAUAUCACUAAAUAGCCAGUCAGGGUUCAAACUUCAGUUGUCAUACAAACGUUGUUGCUUUUUAAUAGUUCAUCUGCAUUGGAAUUGAAUUGAAUUGAAAUAGAAAAAGUUCCAGAUCUGAGGUUGGCUAAAGGUCUCUUAAGAGCCUUUUACUCUACAAGUUCCCUUUCACCUUUUUAUUUUUCUUGAAGUUUUUUGUUUGUUUAUUUUUGGUUGUUGUUGAGGGAAACAGGUUGCUUGUCCUGUAGUGUUUCUCAUGUCCUGGAAUUUAAUAUUGCAUACUCUUAGUCUCAUCCAAUGUGUUUCUCUCUUAUGAACUGACACUUAUCUAUAGGUUUAAUCAAAUUAAAAGUCAAUAUUUUGGCAUGACUUUAUUAUAGAAGGUAUUGUUUACUUCUAUCAGGAACUGAAUCAUAUCUACUUGUCUUUCUUUUUUAAUGUUAGCAGCUAUUGAUAUUUAUUUUCUGGGUCUAUUCAUUUAGUAUGGGAUAUAAAAUGAUUACACAUCUUCUUCAUUUGGUAACAAAAACUUUCCCUCAUCAAAUUGUUUGUUUACCUUAUGAUACAAUUUGUAUGUGAAUAAAUACUUACUUCCCUUUAUCAUUUUUUAAAAUAGCAAAUUGGUGGUGACCAAUUUUUUCCUUCUGAAUAAAAUCAUUAAUUCAUAAAUUUAAGUAUAUUUGAUAUACUUUAGUCUGCAAAAGUUAUUAUCUUUGUUGACAUUAAUAUUGCCCCAUCUUUGCAUAAUGAGAGCUUACUAUUGUUGGUUCCAGGGUCUUUUUGACGUAAAUCUAGCAGUCAUUGAUAGCUUUAUAUUUUAUUACAAUAAGAUAGUCCAAGCUUGUCCUGUAUUUCCUAACUCAGAGCUAGUAUUGCCUAUCUUUCAAAAUAUUCUUCAUUCCUUUUUUAUGGAAAUGGUAUUUACAGACCAAAAUCUAGGCCCUCAUCACUACUGGGUCAAUCUUUUGUCUAAGAUUUUUUGUGGAUUCAGUUAGAUAGUACAUGUUAAUUUAAAUACUAAUACAUGCAAAUAAAAUUAAGAACUACAGGGUUUUGACUUAACCUUAACCAUCUUGUAUUACCUUUCUUCACAUCAAAACUUCUAGUAUUCAAGGAAGCUAAAAUAAUCACUCAAUAGCUUUAUUUAUUUAUAUUAUAUAUAACACUCAUAACAGGCCUAAAACUCCCUUUAAUAAUAUGAUUGCUGAAAAACAGUUUAAGAUUUGUUUACAACUGUGUGUACUUGGGGAUGUACUCUCAAAUUACUGUGUUUUAGUCAUUUGGAAUAGUUUCUAUCUUGGUUCCACCAGCUGGGUACACAGAUUCAUUUUGAUACAUUUUGCCUUGAUGUUUAGGGCUUACUUUUAAGUUUCAAUUUUAUUUUAUAAAUAUGUAAAAUAUGUAUGUGGUUCUAAAAUCAAAUCCAUAAAACAACUUAUAUUCAUAAAAGUUUUACCUCUAUUUUUGUCUUUUCCAUAUAACUCUCUCCCUAUUUAGAUAACUCUGUUACAUCAUUACUACUUUGUAAUUAAGACACACACAUAGGCAUAUACAGGCAUUAACUAGCAGCAUACUAUAUGAUCUGGUUUGGCUGUGUCCCCACCAGAAUCUCAUCUUGAAUUUCCAUGUGUUGUGGGAGGGACCUGGUGGGAGGUAAUUGAAUCAUGGGGACAGGUAUUUCCCAGGCUGUUCUCAUGAUAGUGAAUAAGUCUUACAAGAUUUGAUGGUUUUAAAAGCAGGAGUUUCCCUGCGCAAGCUCUCUCUUUGCCUGCUGCCAUCCAUGUAGAUGUGACUUGCUCUACCUUGCCUUCUGCCAUGAUUGUGGGGCCUCCUCAGUCAUGUGGAACUGUUAAGUCCAUUAAACCUCUUUUUCUUCCCAAUCUCGGGUAUGUACUUAUCAGCAGUGUGAAAAUGGACUAAUACACUCUACAUACUUUUUCACCUUCCUUUCUGAUUUAACUACAUAUUCCUGAGAUUAUUCUAUAGUAAUAUAUAGAUAUAUUAACCUUUUCUAUGAUAGGUACAUAGAUUUCUAUUGUGUUGAUAUACCACAGUUUCUUCAAUCUAUCCUUCACUGUUAUUUGAACUUUGUUUACAGACAUAAAAGAUAUAUUCUAGUCCUUAAAAAAAAGCUAUAUUUGGCAGGGUGUGGUGGCUCCACCUGCAAUCCCAGCAGUUUGGGAGGCUGAGGCGGGUGGUUCACCUGAGGUUAGGAGUUCAAGACCAGCCUGGCCUACAUGGUGAAAUCCUGUAGUAAAAAUACAAAAAAAUUAGCUGGGCAUGGUGGCGGAUGCCUGUUAUCCCAGCUACUUGGGAGGCUGAAGCAGGAGAAUCGCUUGAACCUGGGAGGCAGAGGUUGCAGUGAGCUGCGAUCCCACCACUGCAUGCCAGCCUGGUCAACAGAGCAAGACUGUGUCUCAAAAAAAAAAAAAAAGAAAAAAGAAAAAAUAUAUAUUCAAGCCCCGGUACUUGUAAAUGUGACCUUAUUUGUAAAUAGGGUUUUUGCAGAUAUAAUCAAGUUAAGAUGAGGUCAUCCUCCUAUGUUAGUUAGGCCCUAAUUCAAUAUUUUGGUGAUCUUAUAAGAAGAGGAGAGAAGCCAACAGGGAGAAGAUAGCCAUGUGAGACAGAGACAGAGAUUGGAGACAAGAACUGCCAAGGACUGUCAGAAACCAGAAGAGGCAAGGAAAGAUUCCUUCCUACAGGUUUCAGAGGGAGUAUGGCCCUAUUGAUAGCCUGAUUUUAGAUUUCCAGCAUUCAGAACUGGGACACAAUUUUUUGUUUGUUUGUUUUUUUAAACCACAUAGUUUUUUACACCAUAGUUAUUACUUUUUUACAGCAAUCCUGGGAAACUAAUAUACUUACUGAUUGCCAUUUUGGUAGUUUCUAGUCUUCUGCUCUUGGAAACAAUGCUGUGAUGAAAAUCUUUGUAAAUACAUCAUUUUAUAUAUUUUUUCCAGAGUACUUUGCAGUGGAGUUUUGGAAAUGAGAUUGCUGGUCAAAGGGUAAAUACAUAGGUAGUUUUGGAAGACAGUCUCAAAUUCCCUUCUAUACGGGUUUUAUUAUUUUGCUUCGUGAGCAAUAAUUUUCAAUGUGCCUAUUUCCUUACACUUAAAAUUUUGCCCAUCUGAUAGGUGAAAAAUUAUUUUUCAAUAUAGUUUUAAUUUUAAUUAUCUCUUAUUGGUAAGGCUGACUGUAUUUUCAUAUGGUUAACAGCCAUUUGAUUUCUUCUGGUCGGGGUACUAUCUGUUCAUAUAUUUAGCCCAUUUUUCUAUGAAGGUAAGUCCCCCUUCCCAUCUAGAGUUAUUUUUAUAUUGGAAUUAUUAAUUAUUUGAGAUAUGUUAAAUACCCCAGUUCGUUUUUUGUCUUUUUAUUUGCUUAUGAUGUUUUUUCAUUUAUUUAUUGCCAUCCUUAAGACAUUUUAAAGUCUUUAUUUCUUGAAUUCACCAGUGAUAUAUAAUCAGUUCAUGGAGAAAAGAUACUUUUAUUAAGAAUAAAGCUAACAUAGAGGACUUUUUAGACGGUCUUCCAGAUUUUUUUAUAAUGUAAUGGUAUAUUAUUGGUUUUAUGCUUAAAGUUGAUUUUGAGGAAUUCUGACACAAUUCUAAGUUGCAUGGCUUAUAGCACUCAGAAAGAUAAAGGAAUCUUUGCUUGAAUUAACACUUUCUCAUCAGCCUUUGGUGUAUGGAUAGAAAGUACCAGAUUAUCUAUUAGUAAGAAACGAAUCAGCACUUACACAUUUGAAAAAUACAUUCACUGUUUAAAAUUUACUCAGUUGACAUUUAAAUAUGCCACACAUAUUCUUUAGCAAUUCAACUUUUAUCAAACACUAAACAUUUAUUGUCUGUUGCCUAUGAACAUGUGUCUUCUUCCAAGUGAAUUUAUCAUCUAAAACUGGUCUAUUUUACCCAGAUCCUACAAGUAAUUAUCUCUACAAGCUUCAGCAAAUGCGCUUUUAGUUCCUGUCUGUGUAAGAUGAGGUGGCUAGAAUAAAAUAUUCUAAAGCUCAUUUCAACUCUAAAAUAUAUUAAUCUGCUUCUGUAGUAAGGAUCUCACAUUUCUUAGGAAACCCUUGAAUAGAUCUUAUCUCUUUUCAUUUAGACAAAAUUAAUUUCAGCACCUCUUGGUUGAUAGAUACAAAAAUGGAACUUCACAUAGUUCCAUUCCCUUUCUGCCAUGCAGAGUGAAUGGCCUGAGAACACAUUUAUAACUGAGAGGUAGGGGAGCAGGCUGACUCACCUGCAGGGCCUUGACUUCUGUAGAUACCCAGCUCCUUCAGGAAGCGCUGAGGAGUGCUCUCAUCCUCCCUCCAGGAGGGAAGGAAGACAGGCAAGAGGAGGAGAGGAGGUUCACCAGAUUCCUCCUAAGCUGACAUUGUCCCUGAUAAUUUCUAUGGCCCAAUUUGGAGCCUCAGCUUCAGUAAAUUCUGACAACUCAGGAUAAAAGGACCCCACCACGUUGUGCUCCCCUAUGACCUAUUCUUUUCUUUCAUGCAAGUUAUAUUUAAAAACCAUGUAUUUUAUGUUUGUUUAUGUGUUUACUGCUUGCCUUUGGGACAAGAUUGUAAGCUCUCUAAGGACAGGGAUCAGAUAUUGUUUUAUUUUAAACAAAUGCAUAUGUAAUUAAUUUUAUAUUUUAAAUUUAUUGUUAUUGCAUUUUCCAUUUGAAUUUAUUAUUUAAUAAUUUUAAUAAAUUGUAAUAAUGAAUGUGAUUGUAGCUAAUUCUCAUUAUUUGGGGAUUCCCUAUUUGUGAGUUUACCUAUUCACUAAGAUUUAUUUGUAACAUCCAAAUCAAUACUCCCAAUGCUUAGUAGUCAUUGCUGGACAUACCAUGUGCAGAAUGGGGAAAAGCAAAGUGGCCUGAUGUGCACAUUCCUGGUUGAGGGUCCCAGCUGAGGUUGAACAAGAUGACAUUCUCUUAUUAUUUCAGGUCUCAUACUGUAAACAAGUGUACUUUCUGUGAUCUAUUUAAUGCUACAUUUUUCACAUUUUUGUGUUUUAUUAUUGAUAGUUUUCUUGCUUAAAAUGGCCCUCAGGCAUAGUGCUGAAGUGCUAUCUAGUGUCCUCAAGCACAGGAAGCCUAUGACGUGCCUUACAGAGAAAGCACUCAUGUUAAUAAGCUCCUUUCAGGCAUGAGUUCUGUGUGGUUGGCUGUGAGUUCAAUAUUAAUGAAUAGACAAUAUAUGUUUUGCAUGGUGUCUUUAAACAGAAACAUAAAACAUACAACAAGCAACAAGGCUAUGUAUUGAUUAUUUGAUUAAAACGUUGUGACAAGAGGCUCCCAGGAACCCAACCCUGUAUUUCCUCUCCGUGACAAUGAUUCAGUAUGUGCUAAUUCAGUAUUCACAGAGACUCUAUAGAACAUAACUACUUCAAAUAAUGAAAAUUAACUGUGUUUAAUUUUUAUUUUUCUUUUAAAUGAAUGAAUAUCAAUGUAAUAAAUAUUUAUACCUGUCAUAUAGUUGGUUACUAAUAAAUGUUUAUCAAAUGAACAAUUAAAUGAAUGUUGAUUGUGAUCAGAACCGUGAUCUUGAUAAAAGGGUU